CUGGGGACAGGAGGAAAAAGGACAGAUCAUACAUCCAUUACAUACUGCAAUACUCAAAGAAUAAUCUCCCAAAUCCUUCACUUUGAGUGCCAUUUUCUGCUCCUUAGCUCUGAGCUCUGCUCUGUUACAGGUCUUUAGGAGACAAAUGUUUUCCACUACCUUCUCUCCUGUCUGUCUCUCAGCCUCACUUAGCACCUGCUGAAUGGGGACACACCUGAGUCUCCUGCUUUUUUUAAUGGCAAGAUCUGUAGCAGAUGGGACUUUCCCCCAGACAGCAACUACUACCAGCACUGCACUGCUCACAACACCAGAAGUCCCAGGCUUCCGGGAAGACAAGACCCCUUGAAGAACUUUUCUGAAGAGCCUGAAAUCUCUGUUAUCAGAGAAUUAAACAGAGGUGCUGGCUGGAGCACAGCUUCAAGGAAAAAAGCUGGACCUGAGAGGUAAAAAGGCCUCACUGGUGGCAGGCAGAAGACUUGGAAAGCAGAAUUCCAAUCAAGGUUUCUCACCUGGGCAAUCCCCUAGCCCAAAGAAAAUCUGUUGUUUAGAGAUGAGCUGUAGAGUCAAGACUCUCUUUGUGCAGCUACUUUGAAAUACACAGGCAUCUUCUUCACUUCUGUGGGUUCUGUGAG